UACAGAAGUGUUCGUGAAAAU
rnacentral:miRNA from 1 species